rnacentral:rRNA from 1 species
GACGAACGCUGGCGGCGUGCCUAAUACAUGCAAGUAGAACGCUGAAGAGAGGAGCUUGCUCUUCUUGGAUGAGUUGCGAACGGGUGAGUAACGCGUAGGUAACCUGCCUUGUAGCGGGGGAUAACUAUUGGAAACGAUAGCUAAUACCGCAUAACAAUGGAUGACACAUGUCAUUUAUUUGAAAGGGGCAAUUGCUCCACUACAAGAUGGACCUGCGUUGUAUUAGCUAGUAGGUGAGGUAAUGGCUCACCUAGGCGACGAUACAUAGCCGACCUGAGAGGGUGAUCGGCCACACUGGGACUGAGACACGGCCCAGACUCCUACGGGAGGCAGCAGUAGGGAAUCUUCGGCAAUGGGGGCAACCCUGACCGAGCAACGCCGCGUGAGUGAAGAAGGUUUUCGGAUCGUAAAGCUCUGUUGUAAGUCAAGAACGGGUGUGAGAGUGGAAAGUUCACACUGUGACGGUAGCUUACCAGAAAGGGACGGCUAACUACGUGCCAGCAGCCGCGGUAAUACGUAGGUCCCGAGCGUUGUCCGGAUUUAUUGGGCGUAAAGCGAGCGCAGGCGGUUUGAUAAGUCUGAAGUUAUAGGCUGUGGCUCAACCAUAGUUCGCUUUGGAAACUGUCAAACUUGAGUGCAGAAGGGGAGAGUGGAAUUCCAUGUGUAGCGGUGAAAUGCGUAGAUAUAUGGAGGAACACCGGUGGCGAAAGCGGCCCUCUGGUCUGUAACUGACGCUGAGGCUCGAAAGCGUGGGGAGCGAACAGGAUUAGAUACCCUGGUAGUCCACGCCGUAAACGAUGAGUGCUAGGUGUUGGAUCCUUUCCGGGAUUCAGUGCCGCAGCUAACGCAUUAAGCACUCCGCCUGGGGAGUACGACCGCAAGGUUGAAACUCAAAGGAAUUGACGGGGGCCCGCACAAGCGGUGGAGCAUGUGGUUUAAUUCGAAGCAACGCGAAGAACCUUACCAGGUCUUGACAUCCCGAUGCUAUUUCUAGAGAUAGAAAGUUACUUCGGUACAUCGGUGACAGGUGGUGCAUGGUUGUCGUCAGCUCGUGUCGUGAGAUGUUGGGUUAAGUCCCGCAACGAGCGCAACCCCUAUUGUUAGUUGCCAUCAUUCAGUUGGGCACUCUAGCGAGGCUGCCGGUAAUAAACCGGAGGAAGGUGGGGAUGACGUCAAAUCAUCAUGCCCCUUAUGACCUGGGCUACACACGUGCUACAAUGGUUGGUACAACGAGUUGCGAGUCGGUGACGGCGAGCUAAUCUCUUAAAGCCAAUCUCAGUUCGGAUUGUAGGCUGCAACUCGCCUACAUGAAGUCGGAAUCGCUAGUAAUCGCGGAUCAGCACGCCGCGGUGAAUACGUUCCCGGGCCUUGUACACACCGCCCGUCACACCACGAGAGUUUGUAACACCCGAAGUCGGUGAGGUAACCUUUUGGAGCCAGCCGCCUAAGGUGGGACAGAUGAUUGGGGUGAAGUCGUAACAAGGUAGCCGUAUCGGAAGG